UCGCACAGGUUCAAACACCUGCAACCAAAGGAGACAUUAUUCAUCCACUUGCCCUGCUAGAUUCAGCUAAGGGUUCGGGAGGUUGCCAACUUAUAUGUUUACUGCUGGACCUGUGAGAGCAUCAGGGCUGCUCCUGAGCUUGGAGCAGGCAGGGGUGCGCAUGCAGAGAAGUGGGGGCCCCCUGGAUUGUGAAGGGGUCCUGGAACUCUUGGGUUGGGUGAGUAUUUUGCAGGGAGCUGGAGUGCCUGAAGGAGCCCUCCAUGGCCACUAAUCUUUGGAGUAAAUUUCUAUGCAGCAAAUCUAUUGAUGAUACAAGGGGGCUUCGCAAAUAAUGGUUAUGGACUUCAGAAGGCCCAAUGGGUCAGCUUCAGAACCAGUGGAAGGAGGGUGGAGCUGACAGAACAGGGGACUUGCUGCUUCAAGCUGACCUCUGAAGCGAGUAUACACAGGCCACUUGUACAUUCUUCAUCAAAUCAUUAAGAAGUCAAAUGAAAAUGACCAACCACUGUCUCUGACAUUUAUUAUAUAUAUGAAAGGCAUUUAGGAGAUGUAAAGACCAGGCAAUUGUGAAACAACUAUAAAGAUGCAAGACUGAAAGCCUCAAGAGUGACAUUCAGCUGCUCAGUUAUGCCAGCAAAAUGGAUUAGUAGAAGAUUCUAAGUUAUGGUGACUGAGUGAAGGAGAUGAUUGCUGGAAGAAUUAAAGCUGGCUGUCUGGAAGGAAUUUAGGAAGACGUAGUGGUUAUAUAAUACUGAAAUCCUAGGAAACUGGAGAGUAUGUAUUCUUGGCUUAUCAUUUAUUUCUGUUUGGAAAUGAUGGGGCAUUAUGAAGCUUUCCUAGAAGUUCCUAAAGGAGAAGUCAAGCAGCAGACACAUCUUCAUAAUGAUUCAGAAGACCUUCAGCUUACGGAGUGAAGCUUUACUGUGAACGGAGAGUAUUAUGCAGACAUAGCCUGCAGAGGAACUGCUGGGCAGAUUGGUGUCCAUAUGAAUUCCUUUGGCAAGAUGUACUAAAAGUUCUGGACUUGUGAAGUUAAAAUCUGGUAACAAAUGAGCUUAAUGAAUCAGAGAGAUGCAAACUUCAGCUGCAUGUGUAUGGGACGUGUCCUGUUAACAUUGAGAAUUACUCUUGGUUUAUGAUACUGCAAAAGUGCAGCUAAGCCAGACCAUAACUCUAGUGCCUCUGAUCAGGGCAAAAUUAGGGUUAAAUAGAACAAGGUUCUAUGGUGAGUAAGAUGAACCAAAAGACUCAUGGUAUCAGUUUUUAAAAUGAUUUCUCUCUUUCUUGCUCUUGGGCUUAUUUGCAUUUCCAUAAUUCCUUAAUCCCAG
rnacentral:lncRNA from 1 species